rnacentral:lncRNA from 1 species
AUAUAACAUUGUUGGUUUUUGUGAUCUCUGAGAAAGUUACCAUGAAAGAGCAAUAAGAGACUGUCCAGGGGGUGGACUGUGGGAGGUUAUUGUUCAAUUGUUAGAAAAACUGUGGCGAUCUUGUUUUUGUGUUUUCUGUGAAAUAUUCCUGGCCAUAUCUAUGGUUCUAACAUUGCUGCCAAAACUGGGCCCUGUUGGUAUAUUGCUCUCCAGGAGGAGGUGUAUUUGAAAGUCUGAGCAGAAUUCACAAUUCAGAGGAGAGGGUAGUUGAUACGGUCAAAGGUUUCAGCCUAGGUAAUCAAUUCUGCACACCACAGGUGAAAGUUGUGUGUGUUAUUCUAAACUGGUAAUGAUAUCAUUAUAAAUACCCUUAGGUUUUUAAGAAGAAAGUAGGUAAUGACUACGUAUACAUUAAAUUGUGUGUGUAUGUGAGUGUGUGUAUGUGUGUGUGCAUGCGUGCGUGUGAGAAGGACCUAGAUAUCACUCUGAGUGUGCACUCACUACAGCUGCUCUUGAGGAAGCUGCCCCAAAGGGUUUAGGAUUCAGUGUUAGAAAUCUUGAGGUGAGCAAAACCUGCUUACCUUCGAUUUCUCUGAUCUUUAGUGUUAUAGGAACACCAAAUGCCAUAUCUUACUCCAAUUCAGUUAACCUUAUUUUAGUACUGCCAUUUAUAUUAACUUAAAGCAAGUACUGUGAUUUUUUUUAAAGACAGUGUUUUAUAAUUUUCAGAACUACUAUUUGAAACUAUGUAACAUUUGAUUACAAGCUAGGGUUUCCCUCCCAUCUAACAGGUGGGCUUCAGGCCAUAACAGAAUGCUCUUCCCACUAAAAAUACAGAAGUCCAACAUUCUAAAGAUAAGGUUAGCAGUGGAGUUGACUUUCCUCUCUUACUUUGAUCAGCCGUGGCCACUGCCUUUGCAGUGACCAUGGGAAAUGAAUGCAUAUUUGCACAUCUGCCUCAUGAGCAAAUCUCUGUAUGGAUGGUUCCUAGUGACACUAGCAUUGGUGGGUAAAGGGAGCUGUCUGAGAUCUGCCCCAAUCAUCUCCUCAAUGUCUCUAAUCCUCUUACUUCAUUGUAGGAGUCAGUGUUUCUGAAUAUCUGUCAUUAAAAAGAAAAUCCCUUUCAUUCCCAAACAUCCUGAGUUAGUAGAUACACUUGCCGGGUCUCUCUGCACUUCUCUUCCAUUCUCUUGGUUAGACUCUCCAUAGAGGCAUUAUCCACACUGUGGUUUUGAAAUAAAUGAAUUUCACUAAGGCUUCUUUCAAGAAUCAAGUCUUUAGUAUUUUUCUUAUGUAAGAAGCACAUUUGCAAGAAUCACAAAGUAAAUGACAAACUAAUGGUCCAGAGUUGAAUCACUGCUGUGCUUCUAAUAACACAACAGCAUAAAACCAUCAAAGUAAAAACAACAAUUCAUUUCUUGCCCCCAGGAAAUAUGAGACGAGAUUCAUGCCAAUGAGUCACCACUGCUUAGCCAGCAUCUCUUCCAGAGAGAAUGCCUGGCUGACCCUAUAAUGAAGGCAUAAAUAGAGCUAUCUGCAGGCAGUGGUGGAGGCACUGAAGAAACCCCUGCCCAAUCUCCCCUCUGACCUACAUAAAAUACUUCUUUCUUUAGGACAUUUUCCUGCUAAAUUUCAGCAGAAUAGCUCUGCAGACUUUCCAGAUGAGCACUGAGUUUAUCGGAUUACUUAUCUGUAAAUGUAUGAAAUCGAUUGUCUUUUUUAAAAAAAUUAUAUUUUCUUACAGAUUAGGAAACAGAGUGCAGUGAGCUCUACAAGCAACCAGGAGAACUAAAGAACUCAUCCUUAAGAUUCCCUGUUCUGGGUCCCAAUUUUACAAGAUAGGAAGCAUGCCCAGAGAGAGGAAGAGACUUGCCCAAACUCACAUAGAAGCUAACUCAUUGACAAAAUCUAUCACCUGUCCUUAGGCACUAUCCUCCAUCCAUAACAUUGCUCACCGCUAAGCUGCCCUGAGCUGGCAGCUGCUUCCUUCCGCUUAAUCUCUCACUUCCCACUUCCCUUCACUGAAAUAUGCAAGAAAACAAAACAAAUAGAAACCAUUUCUCUGCGGACUCUGGUGGGCCCAGAGAUAUGGACAUUCAUCAGAAUGCUGCUUUUGCCAAAUGAAUGUUUCUAGAACGGGGACGCAGUAAGCACAGGACUGUCUUCAGACUACAGUCGUCAAUGGUGGUGAAUCUGGUGGUGUGUAACACCCCCCACCCUGUGUGUUUGAUGGUUUUAAUGUUGCUUUCUUCUUAUGAGCUCUGCCUACCAGCUGUUCUUGUCCUGUCCACUAUGAUGGAAAAUUAGCCAAUUAGUGAGUGUCUUUGUAUCUCUUGGAGGAAGUAUGGCACACAGGCUGGUCAGGAUGAGCCAAGCUGUCGAUCUUUGCCACCCUCUAAGCAGGAGCUACAAGGCUGUUAAGGAUAGACAGCAUGCUGCAUUUAUUCCCUUCUUCUGAGAGUCUUUUGCUGCUGAGCCUCAUGCCAUGCCUGCUUUCUGUGUACCCCCCCCAUCCUGCCCACUCACACAAUGCAAUGGGAAAGUCAUAGCAAUAGAUGUAGGUCAAGGCCAUAAUCCUAGGGUUCAAGCUGUGGGAGUCACAGGAAGGGCUGGGUAAAUUUACCUGGGCCUACCACUGGAAGUCACCAUCCCAGAAGAAAAGGGAGUCCAUGUCCCACUGGCCUUUACCUGCUGACUGCCUAGCCACUGAGCUGUAUUGCUUUGCUGAAGCUGGGAGGGCCAAAGCACAAACUAACAAACAAUCAAAGAGAAAGAUGGUUAAAGACCCAGAAAACACUUUCAGAUGAACUACUUCAGGACGAUCUAGCAUUCAUGUUCUGUGGGUUGCAUGGCUUUCUCACUGCUGCACACACUAGUCAUGUGGUUAGAUUUGGACAUGCUGUGCUUCGUGGGACAUGGAACUUCCAAGGGGUAUUUCUUCAGUGCCAUCUUUCUGUGUGGUCUAUGAGGAACUAGUGUGUGUUCUUGUUAGUGUGUGUCUUGCAACCUUCAGCUGCACAUCUCUGAUUCAGACCCACCUCUUUGAGCUUCUGGUUGUGUGUCGGAGGGGGUUUAAAGUAGCCAUUCGUGGGUUUGACAUCAGUGAAUAUUUAGCCAGCUGGAUAAGACAGGAAAAGAAAAAGGUAUUUCUUUCCCUAUGUAAUAAUGAAAAGCAAUAAUUACAAGUAUGUAACAAUACACAAAGGCCAUAAUUAGUCUCUUCCAGUGUUCAGGAUGUGCUAGAGAAUUCUGUAGUCAUUUGGAGUAUGUUGGACCCAUUAGUAUGUCCUAUAGCACCCUUCAGUAAGCAAAUACCUGAGUUGCUCCUAUUUUACAAGUUUAUGAGCCCAUACUACUGCAUUUCAGGAGUGACAGAUAUGUCUGGAAAUGGGGAGGGUUCUUGCAAAGCACUGUACCAGAGACCAUGUUGUACAUUUGUCUGUUAUAAACAGGCUGGUUUGUAAAAGAUGUAUGUUUUUGGUGUUUAAAAUGUUUAUAAAGUUGUAUAUAGUUGGUUUCAAUUU